AUUCCUCGUAGACGGGAUGGUUGUGAGCGGGACAGAAACUCCACCACAAGGGUUCUGGGGGUACUACAGGGACUAAAGGAAGCAGUGUGAUCAGUGUGAAAGCAGCAAGGCCAUGAUUUAUUUCUUGGGCGUGUAGUUUUCUCCCGAGGCCUCUGCUUGGUUAUUUUACCCAGCAUCGGUGCCAAAGGAGAUUUCCCCAAAGGGAAAAGUACUGCAGUGCUCGACGCAUUACAGUCCUUUCCCGUUUGCAAGCUCUCCCACACAUUCCUUCUUCUGUUCCCAAAUCACAGGAGACGACGAGAAAGAGAACAGACCACCUGUCCAGAUAAUUUGCCUUUGGAGUCUGCAGGGCUGGUGAAGGCAUCCUGAGAUGGGGGAGGCCCCUGGGGACCUCCACAGUCAGGGCUCCCACCUCCUCUCCCACACCGCUCUGCCUCAUGCCCUGGGUUGCCUGUCUGACUGUCUCAAGACUGGGGGUUCUCCGGUGAGCAGAUGGCUGCUUAGCGUCUAUGCCGUGUGCCUGGCUUUUUCCAACCACUCCGAAUUGAUCAUUUCCUAAUGACCACAUGGCUCAGAAACUCACAGCACAUCCUUCUAGGGGCCUCUUUCUCCCAAGUCCUCCCAGGGACUUGGCAGCUUCAUCUCUAAGGCCUGCAGAGGCUGUGGCUAUGGCUGUCCAUUGUUCUCGCUCCUUGGCUUCAGUUCAGAGCCAUCAAAUCCCUGCAGCUCGCACACUGGAACAUUCAUAUUUUGGAUAAGGCCUUUGCUGUCAGUGGAAUACAGCAACACACAAGACAGACACAGUUGCCUUCCCGCUGAGGCUGGACGUCUACAAAGAAACUCUGGACAGCUAUUUGCCAAGGCGAUGGGCACUACAGAUGAGACGCACAAAUGAUAUGACUCAUGGGUGACGCUGGGCAAACCUCGGUGGUUGAGUCCUGUUGGGUUUUCUCAUAGGAGGUGCUUCCAGGAACAUUCUUGUGCAAGACCGUGUGAGAGUAUCUCCAAGAUAGACAAGUGGAAGUGAAAUUCUGGGCCAUAGUGGAUGAACACUUGCCAAGAGGUGUUGACAAAUUAGUCUUAAAUGAACCUGUACUGCAUUUUAAGGCCUGGGAGCUCUUAGUGGCCCCAUCCUUUCCAAAGCUUGUGUGGUUGGCCGAGUAAUGUCUUCCAAGAUGUCCAAUUCCCAAUCCCUGGAACUUCUGAAUGCUAGCCUGUAUGACAAAAGAGACUCUGAAGCUGGGAUUAAGUUAAGAAUCUUGAGUGGGGAGAUUAUCCUGGAUAAUCCAAAUGGGUCCUUAUAAGAAAGAGGCAUGAGAUCAGAGAACCAGAAGGUGAUGUGAGGAUGGAAUCUAAGAGAGAGUUGAGGAUGCUGUGGCUGCUGGCUUUGAAGGUGCAGGAAGGGCCAUGAGCCAAGGAAUGUGAGAAAUGGAGCUGGAGUUGCCAGAAAAGGCAAGAACAGGGAAUCUUCCUGAGAGGCUGCAGAAGGAGCCAGCUGUGCAACACCUUGACUUUAGCCCAGCGAGACUGUUUUCCAACUUCUGAGCUCCAAAACUAAAUUGGAGGCAGAAGGUUACCAACAUUGCCUGGUGUCCAGCCAGGAGGUAGAGCGUGGUGGCAUCCAGAACCUUCCUCCAACUCCUGCCUGGCGUGGUUUUUAUUCAUCUUUGUAUUCCCAAGAAACUUCUCAGUGUCUCAGGAGUGUUAGGCACUCAAGCUUUCCAAGGUGAAAGUGUUGGACACUCUUUCUUCAUCUCAGAUUUAAUCAACUAAGAAUGCUGCAAAUUGAACACCAGUCCACAAAACUCAGGAAUACAUGAAAAGCAUUGUGCCUUAUUUUUAACUAACUCAAAUUCUAUGUCAGUCUCCCUUUUAUGCUGGAUGUUGGCGCUAAAUCUCAGUGGGUUCCUCAUUCUGCCAGACCUGUGUCCAGUUUGGGGGCUUCACAUAGAGCCACCCCAUCACAGGAGAGGGAAGGGUCUUGCUCUUGGUUGCCAUCACUCCACCCUCUUGUCUUCCGAGCUUUGAUGUUCACUUUCCUUUUCACCACUCGGAAGCUUCCUGCCAUGAUACAUUGAGACCUCAAUGUUAAUGCCAAUUGGGGUUUGGGGUUCUCAUAAACUCAGAAGUCCAGGAAAAUCGCCUGCUGCCUCCCACAACACUCUGAGGGCAUUCUGGAAUCCUACCACUUACCUGGAGCCUGCUGGCCUCAACUGUUUUGAAGUCUGUGUCUGGGCCAUGCAGGUAAAUGGGAGGAUGUUCUGUGGCCAUAAAAAUACCCGAAGUCCCACCUAAAGUUGAUGCAGGGUCUUCUGCAUUUCAUUGCAAAAUUGUUCUAUCAUUUCUAUAGUUUUCAGCCUACAGUCAGGGGCCAGGACUUUGCACCCUUGGUAAACCUCAAUCUCUUCUCCUUCCUGGCUUCUACUCCUUUCUCCCUCAAUCCCAAAUCAAGGCCCUUGAUUGUCUGGAGGUAGGAAAGCCUGGUUCUGGCUCAUGAUAUAGUCUACAUCAUAGCCUUUGUCAUCUCAUGGAUUCACUCAACAACCGUGUGUGGAUGGGGCCACCCAAUAUGUGCCAGGAGUUGAGGACACGCAGGGUUAUGAUGAUGAAAUAGAUAAGGGGCCCACACUCACGGACCCUGCAGGACAGUGGAGCUGUGGACCCAGCAUGCGAGUAAAGACCCAGUGAGCUCACCAGACAGAUCAUUUAAAUCAGGUGAUAGGACAGUGAAGGGCGGGGGCUGCAUUAGUUUUGGUGGCAAGAGAAGGAUUAUCUUCUGAGAGGAUCCACAAAGUAAAGAGGGCCGGUAUGACUGGGUAGAGUGAGGACCGUGGUUGAGGCAGAAGAUGGAGCUCUUUAUUGAGCUCUAGGGAGCCCGUCGGAUGGGACCUACGGGGCUUGAGGGAGCCCAUCGGAUGGGACCUACGGGGCUUGAGGGAGCCCAUCGGAUGGGACCUACGGGGCUUGAGGGAGCCCAUCGGAUGGGACCUACGGGGCUUGAGGGAGCCCAUAGGAUGGGACCUACGGGGCUUGGCGGACUUAAUUUUAAAUGUGGAAGAAGCCAUUGCAGAGCCUGAACCUGAGGUGUGGCAUGGUUCGAGUUACUUCAAACCAAAUUUAUUGAAAUCUCUUUGCAUAAAAUGCAAUGCGUAGAUCUUAAGAGUAUAGUUCAAUGAGAUUUGAUAAAUGUAUGCACCAGUGUAACAACUCCUCCAGUCAAGAUAAAGAAACGUCCCUCACUAUUUCCUCAUGCCCCUUCAUAGUCAAUAUCUGAUCCACUCAGCCUAGGCAACCAUUGAUCUGCUUUUAUCACCAUAGAUAUUUGGGUAUGAGUCUUUGUAUGAUCAGCUAUUUUUAUGUUGCUUGGGUAAAUAUUUAGGAAUAGAACUGCUGAGGCCAAGGAUAGAAUAUUUAACUUGAUUGCCGACUGUUUUUCCCAAGUGGUUGUACCACGUUCUGCCUCCACCAGCAUGUGUGAGUUUCCAGGGCUUCUUGUCCUUGCCAGAUACCAGGUGGUUGCAUGCCGUGUCCCAGUGGCUGUUGGGAAUCACAGUAGCUGGGCCCAAGAUGACUCUGGAGGACUUUACAUUUGCGCCCAUCUGUGGGUCCUCCUAUGCCAGUGUUUCCCAAAGCAUGGGCCAUGCGCAUUAUUCUUUCCAAAAUGAUGUCAUAUGGUGCAUAGGAAUGUCAUGGAAUACAAUGGAAUCACUCUGGAAGGAACUUUUCCCUUCUCAGGUGUUGUUUGAAUAUUCCUGAUGUGAUCGAGGAGAUUAACUGCUACUUAACAUCUCUGCACCGCUUGCUAAACUCCUUGUUAAAAUUAUGCUUUUUAUUUUGAAGGAGUUCUAGAUUCACAUGCGUUGUAAGAAAUAACAGAGAGAUUGCAUGUACUCUUCACCCAGUUUCUCCCAAUGGUAACAUCUUGCGAAACUAUGGUGCAAAAUCAAAACCAAAUCUCUUUUUAUAACAAAGAGAGGGUUCCCACCUCAAGCUCAGAUCCUUCCCUGUGUAGCUAGAACUUAGUAACAGUGUUUUAUUUUAUUAUAUUCAGUUUCAAGGGUUACAUUCUAUUUAUAACAAAUGAUACUGGUUUUCCCUUUACAAUAAUGAUAAAAUUUUAUUACUGAGUAAAUUGAUUUAUGUUUAAAAAUUGAGUUAUUUUAAAGAAUAUAUUAUAUAAAUGAUUGUGCUAGCUGUAUGAAAAUGAAAGUGAAUGAUACA
rnacentral:lncRNA from 1 species